GGUUCCUUAUGGCGUAGUGGUUUGAGUGCUGGUCUGACACUCUGGAGACCUGGGUUCGAUUCUCAGCUCGGCCA